AACGCUAGCUACAGGCUUAACACAUGCAAGUCGAGGGGCAGCAUGACCUAGCAAUAGGUUGAUGGCGACCGGCGCACGGGUGAGUAACACGUAUCCAACCUACCGGUCAUUCCGGGAUAGCCUUUCGAAAGAAAGAUUAAUACCGGAUAGUAUAACGAGAAGGCAUCUUCUUGUUAUUAAAGAAUUUCGAUAACCGAUGGGGAUGCGUUCCAUUAGUUUGUUGGCGGGGUAACGGCCCACCAAGACAUCGAUGGAUAGGGGUUCUGAGAGGAAGGUCCCCCACAUUGGAACUGAGACACGGUCCAAACUCCUACGGGAGGCAGCAGUGAGGAAUAUUGGUCAAUGGACGAGAGUCUGAACCAGCCAAGUAGCGUGAAGGAUGACGGCCCUAUGGGUUGUAAACUGCUUUUAUACAGGAAUAAAGUUAGCCACGUGUGGUUAUUUGUAGGUACUGUAUGAAUAAGGACCGGCUAAUUCCGUGCCAGCAGCCGCGGUAAUACGGAAGGUCCAGGCGUUAUCCGGAUUUAUUGGGUUUAAAGGGAGCGUAGGCCGUCUGUUAAGCGUGUUGUGAAAUGUAGAUGCUCAACAUCUGAAUUGCAGCGCGAACUGGCAGACUUGAGUGUGCGCAACGUAGGCGGAAUUCGUGGUGUAGCGGUGAAAUGCUUAGAUAUCACGAAGAACUCCGAUUG
rnacentral:rRNA from 1 species